GCCUGGUUGGCUCAGUUGGUUAAGCAUCUGACUUUGGCUCAGGUCACGAUCCUCAUGAUUUGUGGGUUUGAGCCCCGUAUCUGGCU
rnacentral:tRNA from 1 species